CAGUAGCCGCGGGAAUACGUAGGGUGCAAGCGUUAAUCGGAAUUACUUGGCGUACAGCGUGCGCAGGCGGUUUUGUAAGUCUGUCGUGAAAUCCCCGGGCUCAACCUGGGAAUGGCGAUGGAGACUGCAAGGCUAGAAUCUGGCAGAGGGGGGUAGAAUUCCACGUGUAGCAGUGAAAUGCGUAGAUAUGUGGAGGAACACCGAUGGCGAAGGCAGCCCCCUGGGCUAAGAUUGACGCUCAUGCACGAAAGCGUGGGGAGCAAACAGGAUUAGAUACCCCUGUAGUCCCUGUCUCUUAUAC
rnacentral:rRNA from 1 species